UGUUAUCACGGGAGACACACGGCGGGUGCUAACGUCCGUCGUGAAGAGGGAAACAACCCAGACCGCCAGCUAAGGUCCCAAAGUCAUGGUUAAGUGGGAAACGAUGUGGGAAGGCACAGACAGCCAGGAUGUUGGCUUAGAAGCAGCCAUCAUUUAAAGAAAGCGUAAUAGCUCACUGGUCGAGUCGGCCUGCGCGGAAGAUGUAACGGGGCUAAACCAUGCACCGAAGCUGCGGCAGCGACACUAUGUGUUGUUGGGUAGGGGAGCGUUCUGUAAGCCUGCGAAGGUGACCUGUGAGGGUUGCUGGAGGUAUCAGAAGUGCGAAUGCUGACAUAAGUAACGAUAAAGCGGGUGAAAAGCCCGCUCGCCGGAAGACCAAGGGUUCCUGUCCAACGUUAAUCGGGGCAGGGUGAGUCGACCCCUAAGGCGAGGCCGAAAGGCGUAGUCGAUGGGAAACAGGUUAAUAUUCCUGUACUUGGUGUUACUGCGAAGGGGGGACGGAGAAGGCUAUGUUAGCCGGGCGACGGUUGUCCCGGUUUAAGCAUGUAGGCUGGUUGUCCAGGCAAAUCCGGAUAAUCAAGGCUGAGGUGUGAUGACGAGGCACUACGGUGCUGAAGUAACAAAUGCCCUGCUUCCAGGAAAAGCCUCUAAGCAUCAGGUAACAUCAAAUCGUACCCCAAACCGACACAGGUGGUCAGGUAGAGAAUACCAAGGCGCUUGAGAGAACUCGGGUGAAGGAACUAGGCAAAAUGGUGCCGUAACUUCGGGAGAAGGCACGCUGGUGUGUAGGUGAAGUCCCUGCGGAUGGAGCUGAGACCAGUCGAAGAUACCAGCUGGCUGCAACUGUUUAUUAAAAACACAGCACUGUGCAAACACGAAAGUGGACGUAUACGGUGUGACGCCUGCCCGGUGCCGGAAGGUUAAUUGAUGGGGUUAUCCGUAAGGAGAAGCUCUUGAUCGAAGCCCCGGUAAACGGCGGCCGUAACUAUAACGGUCCUAAGGUAGCGAAAUUCCUUGUCGGGUAAGUUCCGACCUGCACGAAUGGCGUAAUGAUGGCCAGGCUGUCUCCACCCGAGACUCAGUGAAAUUGAACUCGCUGUGAAGAUGCAGUGUACCCGCGGCAAGACGGAAAGACCCCGUGAACCUUUACUAUAGCUUGACACUGAACAUUGAGCCUUGAUGUGUAGGAUAGGUGGGAGGCUUUGAAGCGUGGACGCCAGUCUGCGUGGAGCCAACCUUGAAAUACCACCCUUUAAUGUUUGAUGUUCUAACGUUGGCCCCUGACCGGGGUUGCGGACAGUGUCUGGUGGGUAGUUUGACUGGGGCGGUCUCCUCCCAAAGCGUAACGGAGGAGCACGAAGGUUAGCUAAUCCUGGUCGGACAUCAGGAGGUUAGUGCAAUGGCAUAAGCUAGCUUGACUGCGAGCGUGACGGCGCGAGCAGGUGCGAAAGCAGGUCAUAGUGAUCCGGUGGUUCUGAAUGGAAGGGCCAUCGCUCAACGGAUAAAAGGUACUCCGGGGAUAACAGGCUGAUACCGCCCAAGAGUUCAUAUCGACGGCGGUGUUUGGCACCUCGAUGUCGGCUCAUCACAUCCUGGGGCUGAAGUAGGUCCCAAGGGUAUGGCUGUUCGCCAUUUAAAGUGGUACGCGAGCUGGGUUUAGAACGUCGUGAGACAGUUCGGUCCCUAUCUGCCGUGGGCGCUGGAGAAUUGAGGGGGGCUGCUCCUAGUACGAGAGGACCGGAGUGGACGCAUCACUGGUGUUCGGGUUGUCAUGCCAAUGGCACUGCCCGGUAGCUAAAUGCGGAAGAGAUAAGUGCUGAAAGCAUCUAAGCACGAAACUUGCCCCGAGAUGAGUUCUCCCUGAGACUUUAAGUCUCCUGAAGGAACGUUGAAGACGACGACGUUGAUAGGCCGGGUGUGUAAGCGCAGCGAUGCGUUGAGCUAACCGGUACUAAUGAACCGUGAGGCUUAACCUU
rnacentral:rRNA from 1 species